rnacentral:lncRNA from 1 species
UUCUAUAAUUUCGUCUAAGCAAGUCAUCUCUAUGAAGGAUUCUUCGUUAUCCACUUCGUUGUUCGAGCACCUAGACCUGGUAGCAUCUGCAAAACUAUUUAAUCGUUUCAUUCAGAUAUCAGGACAAGAGGUCGCACUUGGUGCGAUAGCAAGUGCCUUCGCCCAUGAGCGGUAGGUCUCGGGUUCGAGACUUGGGAGCAGCCUCUCCAUAAAUGGGGGUAAGGCUAGCUGACAUUCACCUCUCCCAGACCCUGCGUAAAGCGGGAGCCUUGUGCACUGGGUACGACCUUUAUCAGAUAUCAGGACAACCAAGACUGAAACAAGUAUCAACUUAUAAUUCCAACAGAAUUUAAUUCAAAUAACAAUUUGAUAACAAUCACCAACUCAAAAGACCCGAAGCAGAAGAUGCCCAGCCAGCACAAUGCCAUUCGAACAUAGUGAGGAAAAAAGAGAGCUCGAAUGAGAUGAAAAACUAACGAUAAUUUAUAGAUUCACCUCUCAAAAAUGAGUACCUAUAAAUUUAAGUUUCUCGAAUCUGAUCAGCCAAGAAAGCAACAAAUUUCUGCAAUAUGUUCAUACACAAAAGAUCCUUGGAUACUAAAUUAAAGUAGAGAGCACUCCCAACCACUACUUUCGAUCCAAAAGAACAGAUGAGAAAAAUUAUGUAAGGCUUUAUGUAUUUCUCAGUCGAUCAAUAGCAUCAUUCAUUUCUUUAAAUAAGUAAAAUAAAGAUAUUGUACCUGAAAUAAUUGAGACAGUCUUUACAGCCUUCUACUUGCCUUUGAGAUAAUGUAAAUCCAACUUCAGUAAAAUCUUCUGCAAGAACAAAUAAAAAAUACCAAGAGAUCUAGUUCAGGAUCACUUGCUAAAUUUAGACGAGGUUUUCAUGAAGAAUUAAACUUUAAUAGGAAAAUGCACAGUUCGACCAAUCCCAGAUUGAGACUUAUGUGCUACUUAGAUCCAUCUAAUUAAAUUUUCCUACAAGUAAAACUACGAAACCAAUAUGAUUUGAGCAAACCCCAUCAACAACAAUACUCUACUAUAGAGCAAUGUAAUUACAAAGUAAAUAGUCUUGGGAAGGACAAAUAUGAUGAAGAAGAAAUUUGAACGCAAUUAAUACAAAAGAAAACAACGGACAUAAAAUCAAUUACUCAACUCAUCAAAGUCACAUUCCAGCUACUUGACGUGCCAUUGAUUUCACGAAUCAAUAAGCUGAAGUGCCUAUACUGUGGUUAUAGAUGAAUCAGUUUACCAGUUUGCCAUUGAUUUCACGCAUCAAUAACUUGGAGUUAUCAACAACGCAUUUGCUUUCAUAAACUAUAUAACUACACAGUUCAUGCCUGGGUGCUGGCUUGAGCGAUUUUAAUUCAACAAGGGGAUCUCUAAUCUGAGACUUGCUCAAGAUCUCCCUUGCUGGCUGGACAUGAUUCCACCAAAAAUCCGAGAGAACUAUUUUCAGAACAUCCCAGUAUUCUGCAUCCCGAUAUACCCUGAACAGGCUGCUCCCUUUAGGAGUCCAAACAUAGAAAUCCAUCCAAUCCCUGUCAAGUAUUUCCAUUAAACCCUGAGCCUGUGGAACACAGUAUAGAGGAAUUCGUGACCAAGGGGUAGCCUUCGUCAUAUUUCCAUAAAAAAAUGGACAUUUAAUCUCCAAUACUCCUCGUGAAGGCAAUCCGUAUACCAGCCUAUCAAUCACCCCAUCCGGUGAAGCUCCCAACCAAUCCUCUCCAACAUUCCUAUUACCAUAAACUUGAAAUUCAGGAAACAAAACGGAAUUUCCUGUUAUCAGCUUGUAUCUUUCAAGUGCUUCCUCUUCUUUGAUAUUGCUCCAACACGUAGCCAAAUUACCAGAAAAUGGCUCAAGGGCUCCAAUCUUCUCUAGCCAAAGCUGGAGUCGUCUGCGAUGAAAUAAACCAACCGCUGCAGCAAAAGUACUUGCUGUCAGUUUAUUUUUUCUGAGUCCUUGCCAAUUUUUGAACCAGUGCUGAAGACCACUUGAAUUAAGAACAGAAUAACCUUCAGAAGAAGCAAAUCUCAUAGAACAACGAGAAUGGUUGAGAACUUGUCUGCGGUUGGCAAACAUAAUAGGAGCCAGAACUGAAAAGAAAUAGUUGAUGUAGCUUCUCCGACUAGUAGAAUCUGUUCUGUAACAAGAAAACAUUUUUAUUUUCUGGCAAUCCCAAUAAAACCUACGAAUGUGAUACUUGCAAUUCUUGUGUAUUGACAGGUGAACAAAAAGGGCAAGCAAGAAGCAAAUAUCUCAGCUCAUGGAAAACAAAUGCAAGGCCAAAGACAUACCAAUUGCUACACAACAAAUGAGAGUGUCGGUAUAAGAAAUGCAAACUUAUGCAUACACACACGAACACGAAUAUCCACAAAAUCGCUGAUAUAUUCUCAAUAUAGAUAAACGGGGGUGGGGGGUUGAAGCGCAUAUCUUCCCUAUAACGGCGACGGUGGCUGCGAAUUUCAGAGAAACUAGAAUUUACGCAGGAAAUAUCCACAAGAAGAGCCCCCAGAAUCCUAAAGUUUAGCCCUAACUGGCGAUUCAUAAUCUAAUUCUCCCAAAUUCAAACCCUAAUAUUUCAGUGACCCAGAAAACUAACACCAUAGAAUUAAAAGGAAUCAAAAUCAAUCACUGAGCAUGCCAAAAAACAAAAAGUGGAGCCACUAGUUGCAGAAGAGACGGGGAGAGAGAUUCAGAGACGUACCAAGAGGGGAAGGGGAAGGGGAAGGACACUGGUGAGAGGUUGAAGAAGAUCCUGCGGCAGCAUUAGAUGGUUGAGGCUGGAGAGAUUUUGGAAUUUGUUAACUGCGUCCGGGUGGGCAAGUCUUAGGGUUUAAGCUGGGGUUUUGGUUUUUAAUAUUUUUAAUUUUUAAAAUUGGGCGUUGGGUUUUGCUUUUUUUUUGUUUUUGUUUUUUGAAGAAACAAUAGCAUUCAUUGAUGGAAUGGAGCCAAAAACAUCCCCAUUAUAAGUAGUACAUCAGAGAUUACAAUUUGAUAGAGGGACCAUUUACAGGCAGUCCUCAACAAGAUCCAAGAUGAAAGUAGGUGGGCUUGAGAGCCAUUCGCAGUGGUUGCCAAUCGACAAGCUAAACCGAGCUAGGUGAUGGGCUACAAUGUUAGCUUGGCGUCGAAUAUGGGAAUAUAAGUCUUUAGUGAUUGAAGGGAGAAGAGCCCUUGUACCCUCCAUGAUCUGGCCAAUGGAUGACCGGUUAGGGGAGAGGUUCGCUAGCGCACCCAUAAUUUGAAGAGAAUCACCUUCCAUUACCCUGGUGGGGCGGGGCGGACAGUGAGCGAAAGAUCCAUUGGCUUUCUUGGGAUAAGUUAUGCCUCCCAAAAUCAGAGAGGGGUUUGGGGUUUCGCAAUUUCCACACUUUUAACCUAGCUUUAUUAGCCAAGCAAGCCUGGAGGAUAAUCAUUGAACCCAACUCCCUGAUGGCAAGGAUCCUUAAGGCCAAGUACUUCCCUGCGGGCUCGUUCAUAGAAACAGAAUUGAAACCAAACUCCUCUUUCUACUGGAGAAGUAUAAGUGGUGCCAGAGAAGUAAUUCGUAGGGGAAUACGAUGGAUGAUUGGGAAUGGAAAAUCAGUAAAAUUGUGGGAGGACCCCUAGAUCCCUUUGUCUUCCAACUUCCAUGUCCUCUCCCCAAAACUAGCAAAUUACAACCUGGAGUAUGUGGCGGAUUGGAUUGACCCUGUCUCGAAAUAUUGGAGGGUUGAUCUUUUCACUCCACUCCUAACUACUGUUAAGAUCGUCUAAUCCGUUCACUUCCCCUUAGUUUGGCUAGAGAAGAUUGGAGCCCUUGAGCCAUUUUCGGGUAAUUUGGCUACCUGUUGGAGCAAUAUCAAAGAAGAGGAAGCACUUGAAAGAUACAAGCUGAUAACAGGAAAUUCUGUUUUGUUUCCUGAAUUUCAAGUUUAUGGUAAUAGGAAUGUUGGAGAGGAUUGGCUGGGAGCUUCACCGGAUGGGGUGAUUGAUAGGCUGGUAUACGGAUUGUCUUCACGAUGACUAUUGGAGAUUAAGUGUCCAUUGAUAGGGCUGGAUCCCAGUUGAGACCGGGAUACGAGCGUGGACCUGUUUCAGGGUCGGGAGGUUCUGGCAUGAAUGCAGCAGCACUGAGCUUGACAAAGAAGAAGAAGAAGAAGAAUAAGAAGAAAAAAGAGAGGGGCGAUGUGGUGGUAGUGGGAUUUCAAGUGAUGAGUUCGAAGUAGCAGAGCAAGCUUGGAGUGGACAGACGAGAACUCGAAACGUUGGAAAACAUUGAAAUGGGAAGAAAUCUUGAAAGAUUAAGACGAGGACUUGAAAUCUAGAAAAGCUAGAGAGACUGUAUUCUCAGUUUUGUGCACAAAGGAGGUUCAAAUCAGUGGGUGAAAGAAUAAAACAUAGUGCCAAAGAGUCCCACAUCGACUACUCGCAAGGAAGUGAUGUGGUUUAUAUAGCUUCACUUGCCGGCAAGGUUUACAACCUUACUUGAACAGGAUCUGUUCUAUAGGAUCGUACCUAGGGCUGGUUCGGUAUGGGAUACCGAACCAAAAUGCAAGUCCCGAUUCCCAAACCGAAGUUUUCGGGAAUACCAAACCAAAUUUUCGGGAUUUCGGGAUAAUCGGGAAUCCCAAAAUAGUUUUGGGCUUUUGGGCUAUUGGACUAAAAAUUGAAGAGAGAAAUACUGCUUGAAGAAAGAAACAUGUGCAAAUACAUAAGCAAAAUGGGAACAUCAGAAAUUAAAGUAGAGAGGACCAAAGACAUUCAAUAUCAUAUAACCGACAGGACCAAAGAAGUUACAGUCAAUUCGAUUAUGGCAACAGAUUUAAAAUGUUGAUCAUUCUUCAUUCGAAAAGGCAUGAAUCAUGAUACAAUGAUCAUUGAUCAACAUAACACUAGAGCUCCUCUGUUGCUCCAGCCUAUCUUGUAAUUUUUAUAUUCUUCAACAUACAUUGCAGGCUGUUCUAAUAUGUAAUCUCGCAUACAUAAUAUAGUGAGAUAAAAUCAUAAAAUGGUAACCUUCAUCCAGAAAUAUUCAACAUAAUAAUCACUAUCUCAUUAAUAAGUACACAGGUUGCAAUAAGUACACAUUAAUAUAUCACAACCACAGUUCAGCAUAUAUCCAAAUUCCAAUCAAUAAAUAAAAUAAAUGGUUCAAAAAUCUGAGCAUUCAACAUAGAAAUAUAUGGUUGUGAGAAAAAGAACUCAAAAUAUAUAACAGAAAGAUAAGAUAGUAAGAACAAGCAAGAGUUGGAAAUCUUAAUGUAUAACAGAAAGAUAAGAUAGUAAGAGCAUUCAACAUAGAACAAUGUGGUAACCAUGUCAGGUAAAUAUCAUCUUGGCCGUCAUUUACUUGCCGCCUGAACCCCCCAAAUCAGGGGAAUAACAAGCAAGAGUUGGAAAUAUGCAUAAGUGUAGACAAAUCCUAUUGAUAUGCUAGGAUAACAUUCAUAAACAAUUUUGCCAUGCUGAUUAUUAUUUUGGUUUGAUAGACAUGUUUGAAAGCAUAUUAGAGGUGACGUAGGGCAGGACAAUAAAGAAAAUCUUCUCUAUUGGAUAACAAAUGAACAUCUCCAAUUCACUACCAAAAACCCUUUUGAAUCAAGUCGAGCACAGACACAAAUUUAGCUUUUUGAUAAUCUUAAUAAAUUUAACAAAUGGGUUAAGGGCUUAAGAGAUAGAGACUGACCUCCUUGAACAAAUUUCUUGUGCACCCGCUUGACGUGCUGAAGAUUUUCCAGCGGUGCAAUUUGGUUCAAACGCCUACACAAUUACAUCAACUUGGUCAAAAGAAAGAAAGAAUAAACAAGGCCAUUAGUAAAUCAUUUUAUAAACAUGAUUUACUGCUGGUUUCCAUUGAAUUCAACCUUAUGAAUUCUAACAUUCAACAACACAAACCAAACCUUAUCAAUGUCCUCCACAGCCAACAAAUUACACACAAGAGGACACAACUUUAAGAAAUUCCCAAACACUGUUUUAUCAAUAUCGCAAUUCUACAAAAACCCAAAUUCCCAAUUCGAUUAAGUUCACUUAUUACUAAGCAAAACACUUGCACAAAUUUAUAAACAAAUGCAACAAUAAAGGAUUAAAUUUGAUAACAGGGGCUGUUCCUUUGAGCAGAAAAUCCUCAUAAAAAUUGAAACUAUAACAAAAAUAAUAAAUCGAUUACUUGAUUGUAUAAUAACUCUGUACCAGGAAAAGUUACAACAAUGAAUUGGUCAACUGAAAGGAAAGGAACCCUAUUGGAAACUAGGACAGUGUUUUCUACUAUACCGGAUGGCAAUUGCUAUUACCAAAAAUUCUAGGAUGCUCCGGACUAGAUAUAUUCCAAAUUGUGUAAUUAUUAUAUCUUGAUUUUUGAAAAUUUUAACCGUUAAAAUAUCCGUUGUACACCUCCAUUCUCCGUAGUAGUUGUAGAAAUGCUUCAAUGCUGCCACAUAGGGGUGGGCACAGGCCGGGCCCCUAGUGGAAAAUAUUUUAAUGUGGAUUAAAGCCGCGAAAAACCCAGAACAGUUAAGGUAAUUCAUUCGGCUCCUACGGGUCCACAGGCCUUUUUUUUAGUAAAUUUUUUUAUAUUUCUUUGGUCCACAGGUCCACAGACCUUCUAUUUUUUUUUUUUUUUUUUUUUUUUUUUUGAGAAGAAACAAUUUUAUUAAAGAAAAGAGAAAAACACAGAAGUGGAUAAGAAGUCCACCAACAAAUUAGAAAGGAAAAUCCUAAUAGGAAUUGGCUACAGUAGCCAAUUCUAGACCAAGCUCACUUAACUGCUGCUAACAAAUCCCACAGUAUUUGAGAUAGAGAGCAAUUAUUAAACUCUUUAGUAACCGAAGCCCAAAAAGAUGCCCAAUAUUUAACUCUCCCCCAAAGUACUUUUGCCCCCACUCCAGUAUAGUCUUCAAAAAUCCUUUUGUUGCGUUCCAGCCAUAUAUUCCAGAAAAUUGCCGAUACCAGGCAACCCCACAAAGCUUUGGAUUUUUUCCCUUUUCCAAGUGCCUUGAAAUUGGUGCUUAGUAGCUCAAAACACCCUUUAGGAAUGACCCAACUUACUUUAACCUCCUGAAACAGUUUCCACCACAGUUGUAUCGAGUAGGAGCAAUGAAGAAAGAUGUGAUUUACACUCUCCUCCUUAGCUUUACAUAAACUACACCAAUGUGGGGAUAAACAUAUCAUAGGGUUUCUCCUUUGAAUUUUGUCGCAAGUGUUGAGACUCCCAUUGGCCACAAGCCAUACAAGUAUUUUAACCUUCGGAGGAACUUUUGAUUUCCAAAUCUGAGAGUAGGGUGGAUAAUAGUGCACAAUCCCAUUGUUGCUCAGUAAUGACCGAUAGGAUUUGCAUGUGAACAAACCUGAAGUUUCUAGGUUCCACCUUCUGUUAUCCAUUUUUGAUGGAGACAAGCGAACCACUUCCACUUUCUGUAAUAAGCUGGCCGCCUCUUCUAUCUCCAUCUCAUUCAGAUUUCUCCUAAAAUCAAAGUUCCAACUCAAGGAACUUGACGAAGCUUCCACAAAGCUAGAUAUGUUAUGAUUAUGCUUCCUCGAUAAUAAGAAUAAUCUGGGGAAUUGCUCCUUCAGCGGUCCCCCUACUAACCACCCAUCCUCCCAAAACCUAACCCUCUCUCCAUUGCCCACCUCAAACUUGCAACAACUAACUUUUUUUGAGGAGGAGGGAUUUGGAGAAGGCAAUGAUGAUUGUGAUUGUAAGGCUUGUGGUGAUUGUGGAGGACAUGGUGAUGUAGCCAUAGAAGAUGCUACACUACUAGGGGUGCUUUGAGACAUUAUGUACAACUUUCAAGUAAAUAUUACAUAAGAAUAUAAAGGCACCACGAAAGCAUUCAGAUGGCCUCAGAACCCUAAUUGCUACCACUCGAGUUAUAUGUCUCUCUCUAAUGACCAAUGAAAAAUAAAAGCUUGAAAAAAGUUUAACUUUUUUCCGUGGGCUAGUUCAUUUUAUAUUCUUAUGCUCGCACUAAUAUGAGAUUCAAAGUUUGAUUAUUGUUUUAGACCCCAAAUAUCCCACAAUCUCUACAAUCACAUAUGUGCAGCAGGGACGUCUCUUUCCCAAAUUUAAAAAAAAAGGAGCACAUCCAUGUAAAGCCAAAGAGUUCUUCAACAUAUUCAGAUCAAGCACAAUCAUUUUCCCUCACCGAACACAUAAUUAAGAGAACUUAAAAACCAAUACCCAUGAUAUCAUAACAUCAGACAGUAAUCAGGUGGAUUUUGUUGAAUUUACGGUCCAUAUUGAUUGUCUGAUUAUAAAACAUAAUAAUUACACAAAAUUUACCAUAUAAAUUAUGAGGAAAGUAUGUUUGAGCUACACAAUUAUGGAUACAGAACCGCACACCAAGUGUUUGACGAAAUGCCACAGUGAAACUACCACAGGAAAACAUACCAGUCCACCGUACAACAACUGGUAAAACAAUCAGGGCAGAAAUAUUAACAAUUCAAAAUUAAGCUAAACAUAAAUUUAAUUCAGCAAAAAUGUUAAUGAUCACAGCAAAAACAUUUCUGAUUCGAAAAAUUAAGAAAAGAAAAGUAAAGAUUUCUGGCAAAACAAUUAAGAUUAAUAUUAGGUGAUAAAAGAUUGAAUAAAAAGCGAAGAUUCAGAACCUGCAUGUACCUCUGAUCGCGAAGAAAGCAAGCCGAAAGCUAAUUCGCAGAGAAAGAUGGUGUGUUGUAUUUAUAUCUGGCUAGUAAAGAAGGAACCACCCCUAGCUAGUUUGGUUUCCAAGCAAACGGAGGCCAGGUAGUGUCCGUUGUGGAGUUCAGUCCGUGGCGUUCCCGUUGUGCAAGUUUUCUCUGUGGGCUUAUGGAUUUGUCUAAUAAAAAAGUAUUUGAAUUAGAAAUGGCCUUUUAAUGGAUAAAUGAU